rnacentral:snRNA from 1 species
GGAUGUGAGGGCAAUCUGGCUGUGACCUCUGUCACCCCACUGAUCGCCAGGGUUGAUUCGGUUGAUCUGGCUGGCUGGGUGUGUGUCCCCUCANUCCCUCACCGCUCCAUGGGGGUGUCCCUCCUGAAGCUGUACACAAUCUUCCCUGAAUAGAGGAGAAUCUUCUCUGAAUAGAGGAAGACUGUUCUUCAUUNGGUCAAGUGUAUAUGAGUAGUUGUGCUCCCCUGCUAGAACCUCCAAACAAGCUCUCAAGNAUUCUAAGUCCUGCUGGCUUCCUGUAUUUGUAAAUAAAGUUUUAUUGUAACAUAAUUGUGUUCAUUUGUUUAUGUAA